rnacentral:rRNA from 1 species
UGCAUGACUCUCGGCAACGGAUAUCUCGGCUCUCGCAUCGAUGAAGAGCGUAGCGAAAUCCCAUACUUGGUGUGAAUUGCAGAAUCCCGUGAACCAUCCAUUCUUUGAACGCAAGUUGCGCCCGAGGCUAUCUGGCCAAGGGCAAGCCUGCCUGGGGGUCACG